rnacentral:rRNA from 1 species
AUGGCCUUGGCGGUAUGUUUCACAUGCAGUCGACGAUGAUUUCUAGCUUGCUAGAAUGAUUAGUGGCGAACGGGUGAGUAGUGUAUCGGAACGUAUCCAAUAAUGGGGGAUAACUAAUCGAAAGGUUGGCUAAUACCGCAUACGCCCUACGGGGGAAAGCAGGGGAUCUUCGGACCUUGCGUUAGUGGAGCGGCCGAUAUCUGAUUAGCUAGUUGGUGAGGUAAAAGCUCACCAAGGCGACGAUCAAUAGCUGGUCUGAGAGGACGACCAGCCACACUGGAACUGAGACACGGUCCAGACUCCUACGGGAGGCAGCAGUGGGGAAUUUUGGGCAAUGGGCGAAAGCCUGAUCCAGCCAUUCCGCGUGAGUGAAGAAGGCCUUCGGGUUGUAAAGCUCUUUCGCAAGGGAAGAAACGAUGCAGUCGAAUAAACUGUGUUAAUGACGGUACCUUGAUAAGAAGCACCGGCUAACUACGUGCCAGCAGCCGCGGUAAUACGUAGGGUGCAAGCGUUAAUCGGAAUUACUGGGCGUAAAGCGUGCGCAGGCGGUUUUGUAAGUCAGAUGUGAAAUCCCCGGGCUUAACCUGCGAACUGCAUAUGGGACUGCAAGGCUAGAGUGUGUCAGAGGGGGGGUAGAAUUCCACGUGUAGCAGUGAAAUGCGUAGAGAUGUGCAGGAAUACCGAUGGCGAAGGCAGCCCCCCUGGGAUAACACUGACGCUCAUGCACGAAAGCGUGGGGAGCAAACAGGAUUAGAUACCCUGGUAGUCCACGCCCUAAACGAUGUCAACUAGUUGUCGGAGGAGAGAUUCUUUGGUGACGCAGCUAACGCGUGAAGUUGACCCGCCCUGGAGGAGUACGGCCGCAAGGUU